CUCUAUUCAUACGUGCAAUAAUCGUCAAAUCAUACGGUGGACUUGCGAUAAUCCCGCCGAGUUUUAACGAUUGGGAACACCCAAAACAGGUGCGAACUAAAGGAGGACAACACUGGAAAAGACUAAGAACAAAUGUUCCUACUGGAGGAUUGACAGCGGUAGGUAAUGGGACCUGUUGGGAUCCUUGUGGCGUUGCUGACGCUGACCGAGGUGCAUAAACUGGCUGUUGCAUUGACGUCAUAUAACGUAGAAAAAACUAUCCUAACAUAAACUAAACCUAACCCUAAUACUAACCCUUACCCAGUAACUCUAACCUAACCCUAACCUAAACCCUAACCUAACCCC